rnacentral:rRNA from 1 species
UACGUAGGGUGCGAGCGUUAAUCGGAAUUACUGGGCGUAAAGCGUGCGCAGGCGGUUUUGUAAGCCAAAUGUGAAAGCCCCGGGCUUAACCUGGGAAUGGCAUUUGGGACUGCAAGGCUUGAGUGCGGCAGAGGAGACUGGAAUUCCUGGUGUAGCAGUGAAAUGCGUAGAUAUCAGGAGGAAUACCGAUGGCGAAGGCAGGUCUCUGGGCUGACACUGACGCUCAUGCACGAAAGCGUGGGGAGCAAACAGG